UGGGAUGUGGCUCAGUGGCAGAGCAUUUGCUUCCUAUGCGCAAGUCCCUGGGUUCAUCCCCAGCACUGCAA
rnacentral:tRNA from 1 species